GGGGAUUUAGCUUAGUGGUAGAGCGCUUGCCUAGCAAGUGCAAGGCCCUGGGUUCAGUCCCCA
rfam:Rattus norvegicus chromosome 8, whole genome shotgun sequence.